CAUCAUGAUUUACAUUUGAGUGAGUGGCGAACUGGUGAGUAACACGUGGGAAACCUGCCCAGAAGCGGGGGAUAACACCUGGAAACAGAUGCUAAUACCGCAUAACAACUUGGACCGCAUGGUCCGAGCUUGAAAGAUGGCUUCGGCUAUCACUUUUGGAUGGUCCCGCGGCGUAUUAGCUAGAUGGUGGGGUAACGGCUCACCAUGGCAAUGAUACGUAGCCGACCUGAGAGGGUAAUCGGCCACAUUGGGACUGAGACACGGCCCAAACUCCUACGGGAGGCAGCAGUAGGGAAUCUUCCACAAUGGACGAAAGUCUGAUGGAGCAACGCCGCGUGAGUGAAGAAGGGUUUCGGCUCGUAAAACUCUGUUGUUAAAGAAGAACAUAUCUGAGAGUAACUGUUCAGGUAUUGACGGUAUUUAACCAGAAAGCCACGGCUAACUACGUGCCAGCAGCCGCGGUAAUACGUAGGUGGCAAGCGUUGUCCGGAUUUAUUGGGCGUAAAGCGAGCGCAGGCGGUUUUUUAAGUCUGAUGUGAAAGCCUUUCGGCUCAACCGAAGAAGUGCAUCGGAAACUGGGAAACUUGAGUGCAGAAGAGGACAGUGGAACUCCAUGUGUAGCGGUGAAAUGCGUAGAUAUAUGGAAGAACACCAGUGGCGAAGGCGGCUGUCUGGUCUGUAACUGACGCUGAGGCUCGAAAGUAUGGGUAGCAAACAGGAUUAGAUACCCUGGUAGUCCAUACCGUAAACGAUGAAUGCUAAGUGUUGGAGGGUUUCCGCCCUUCAGUGCUGCAGCUAACGCAUUAAGCAUUCCGCCUGGGGAGUACGGCCGCAAGGCUGAAACUCAAAGGAAUUGACGGGGGCCCGCACAAGCGGUGGAGCAUGUGGUUUAAUUCGAAGCUACGCGAAGAACCUUACCAGGUCUUGACAUACUAUGCAAAUCUAAGAGAUUAGACGUUCCCUUCGGGGACAUGGAUACAGGUGGUGCAUGGUUGUCGUCAGCUCGUGUCGUGAGAUGUUGGGUUAAGUCCCGCAACGAGCGCAACCCUUAUUAUCAGUUGCCAGCAUUAAGUUGGGCACUCUGGUGAGACUGCCGGUGACAAACCGGAGGAAGGUGGGGAUGACGUCAAAUCAUCAUGCCCCUUAUGACCUGGGCUACACACGUGCUACAAUGGAUGGUACAACGAGUUGCGAACUCGCGAGAGUAAGCUAAUCUCUUAAAGCCAUUCUCAGUUCGGAUUGUAGGCUGCAACUCGCCUACAUGAAGUCGGAAUCGCUAGUAAUCGCGGAUCAGCAUGCCGCGGUGAAUACGUUCCCGGGCCUUGUACACACCGCCCGUCACACCAUGAGAGUUUGUAACAC
rnacentral:rRNA from 2 species